AAAUAAUAAGAAAACAUAUUUUCUUUAAUCAAAAGGGAACUGAACGACGGUCUCCAGAAAACACAUUCCUAAUUCCCUUAAUCUUACAUGCUUGCAAUCGAUUUUACAAUUGAUUUUGGGUUGAUGUUGCUCGAUAAUGCUCAAUCUUCGCUGUCAAUCUUCUCCUUUUCAUCCGUCUCCAACUUCUCUUUUCGUGUAGGUUUCAAGAUUGUUGCAAAAAUCAUUCUUCUCCUUCACAUUCUUGUCUUUAUCGGCAAAAUAUUUUGCUUACCAGGUACCAAUUUGUGAUUUUUGAUAUCCAACUAUGGCGUUUUUGGGAUUUGUGAAAGUAUAGGUUUUUAUGUGCUUGCUAAGUCGUUUGUGAUAUCUGGCUGCUGUUAGAUUGAUAGUCGAUUGAUUGAAUUGAUUCCUCUGUUUCUCUAUUAUUUUUGAAUUGGUUCCUCUGUAUGUUUUCUAAGGCUACUACUAUGUUUGUGAUUGUUCAGAAAUUUUCUAAGUGUCGUUGAUGCAUAUUGAUGUUUUAGUUGAAUACCAUUAGUCGAGAUAUGAAUUCAACUAUGUUCAAAAAUUUUGCCCGAGUAUGAUAUAUAUAUAUAUAUACUGCUUUUUAUUCUAUUGUUCGUUGAUGGUUUAGUGUGUUAUUACUGGUUUUUACCUUAUUACAAAGUAGAGUUUUAGCGGCUAAAAGGUUCGCAAAAUAUUUUACCUUAUUAAUGCAUUGAUAAAAUAACCUGACAGGCGGCCAUCGUUUUAAACUUUCCUUGCUCCUGCUUUGCAUACUACUUGCUGAUAUAGUUAGACUUUGUUUAAAACCUCUUUAAGUUAGUGAUAAAAAUUCUUUGGCAUGUUUUAAUAAAAAAAUUGAUUUGGCAUUUUUAACUAAAUAAGCUACAUGCAACUACACUUUUUUCUAAGGAAAUGAUCUUAAAAAAACAACAGAAACACGUCAAUUAUUAAGAGGGAAUGCAAAAAAUGAAAUAAAAUUUUUAAAGGGAAAAAGAAGAAAAAGUUAAAGAGAAAAGACCAAAGCUUGCAUUUUCCCUAAUAAUUGUUGCAUUCAUUUCCUCUCAUUAAGAACCAUUUUACUUUUCCCACUUUCUCCGUAUAUAUCACUUCUAAUCUUCAUUGCAACUAAAACUUGAUAGAGAAUGGAAGUUGCUGAGACACCAAAAGGUUCUCUCUUUUUGUCUCUCUUUAAGUGUAGGUGUUGUAAACUCUAUUAAUAUCAACUUUAUGUAUGUUGUAGCUCUAGAUUUGUUAAUGUAUGUAGGGGCGUUCUUUGAGUGGGGAGACUAAUCAUGUUUUCUUCUCUCAUAUUUUCACUACUUUGGCCAGUUUUUCUUGAUUCUUAUUGAGUUUUGAUUACAUGCAUUUUUUGAUACUGUAACUUACAUACUGGGAAGUCAACUGACGAAAAUUUCUUUUGCUCGUUAGCUUGAUAAUUUAUGGGCAAGACAAAGGUUUGAUUUAAUAAUUGAUACUUUAGUUUCCUGUUAUGCCUUCCUUUUGGGAUCAAAACUUGACAUCUGGUACGACUGAUUUAGUCUAUGGUGUGUUAUGUUAUGGAUUGGGGCCAACUUCUUUUAGGAGGCCUAAGUGUUAUACAUUAUUUUUACGGUUUGCGGCUUCUCAAGAAGGCUAUCCAUCAUUUUCACUGUUUUCUGUAUGAAAAUCUUUGUAAUUGAUGUAUUUCUUUGUGCUUACUAUUAUAAUUUUUUACUUUUAAUAGAUAAACUAACUUAUAUUCCGUUUAGCUUCAGAACUAGUUAAACUGAUGCUUAAUGAACAAAAGAGUUAUAAACAAAUUUGUAAAAAUGGCGUAUAUAUCUGGAGAGUCAACAAAUAGGAGUAGUAAGUUUUAAAUUUUUUAAAAUAUAUGAUAUAUGGUUCUUCUAUAAAUUACAAGUUUAAUAAUUCUAUUCUUAAAAAGUUUAUGAACCAAUAUGUGAAUACCAUAGAAGAAGUAUAAUUUAUAUGUUUAAUAAUUCUAUAAAUAGAUGAUGACCAUCUAGGUAAUUCAGAGCCAAGAAAGGUUUGUGGUCCUACUUUACUAAAAGAUAUUUGAAAACUUCCUCCAGGGACGAUAGUUGAUGUGCCGUUUAAUAAUCGUAACCAAGCAGUCGGGGAAAAGGCCGAAAGCUAGCAUCUAGGAAUUAUUGCGAGAACUUCAAAACUAACACCUCUACAUGCAAAUGAUUGAAGAAAAUUUGACAAUGAGGAAAAGAAGAAAUUGGUGGAUUUUGUGAGGAAUUAUUAUAGCAAGCUCAAUCUUUUAUACAUGAUGUUUUCUUCUAAAUGUUCGCUUUAUUUUAUUAGAAGAAGUUCUCUAUCCCAAAACGAGGAGAAGCUUAUGUCUUAAAGUCACUAGGAAAGAAAUGAAAAGAUUACAAGUGCAAUUUAAAAAGUGAGUAUAUGCGAAAAUAUAAGACUAGAGAUGCUUUGCUGAAAAAUAGACCAAGUCGCAUACCGAGGGAUCAAUGGAGUAGUCUUGUCUCUUAUUGGCUUUCGGAUAAAGCUAAGAGGUGUACCCAAGCAAAUAGAAACAAUGGAGCCAAUCAAAUGAUGUCUCACACAGGAGUAUCCAAAAGUAUUGCCACCUUGAUGGAUGAGUAGGUCCUCGACGCCAACAACGGCCAUGAACGAGUACCACAAACAUCAAGGAUACCUAGUGUUGCUGAAAAUACUUCACUUUCUCACGGAAUUGCUGUUGUUGCAUCAGCUGUUGUUGUUGUUGCUUUUGCUGAGACAUUAUUGCCAUUUGUACGUUCGUUGGAGGUGCUAUGUUGUUUGACAUGGCAAAGGGGUCAUGUUGAUUGAAUGAGUUAUGUGCAAGGAUUUCAUACCCGUAUGCACUAUAGCCAGCAUUUUGCAGCUGUAUUUGCCUCCUAGCUACAUCAUCUUCAUAUAAGCUGUCAAGUAAUAACUUGUUGAAUCCUCCAGCCAAUUUUUUAUCUAGUGUGACUUGGCUCGUAUUAUUGCUCGAUGCAGUAACAAGAGCCAGUUCCCAUCCUGUUGGAUAGUUUGAGCAGGUUUUGAGAUCAAAAAUUGAACUGUUAUUGUACAUUAAAAAAAACUUUGGCUUGAGGCAGUGUUUAUUGAGGUUUAUAGAAGAACUGCAGCUUCUUUUGAAGUGAAAUUCCGCCAAGUCUUGCAUAAAGUUUAUAUGUUUUUUGCUGUUUACAUUGGUGUGAUCAUCUCUGUCUUGUAUUCCUCUUAUAUUUAGUGAUGACUAGUAGAAGAAGAAGAUUUGCUUGCUUAUGCGUA